UGACCUCGUGAUCCACCCGCCUCGUCCUCCCAAAGUGCUGGGAUUACAGGCGUGAGCCACGGCGCCCGGCCGUAGAUAAGAAUCUUAGAGCUGUUAAAUAUCCCUAUGCUAGAUCAAGAUGGGUCCAGGGACCUAAAGUUGGCUGGAGCCCGCUGGUGGGAUUCAGUGCGGAGCAAACAGGUAUUUGUUGAAAGAAUAAAUGCAUGCCAAGAGAAGGGGAGGCACAGUGGAAGACACAGAGUGAAGAUACAGCUCCUGGUAAUUUCAGCACAAGGCUCUCAAUUCUUAACUGGGGCAGCAGGGAGCUGGCAUCCGCA